GCAGAGGUCUCAAGCGUUGUUCGGAUUCAUUGGGCGUAAAGGGUGCGUAGGUAGCGCCGUAAGUCAGGUGUGAAAUUUCGGAGCUCAACUCCGAAACUGCAUUUGAUACUGCGGUGCUUGAGGACUGGAGAGGAGACUGGAAUUCACGGUGUAGCAGUGAAAUGCGUAGAUAUCGUGAGGAAGACCAGUGGCGAAGGCGGGUCUCUGGACAGUUCCUGACACUGAGGCACGAAGGCCAGGGGAGCAAACGGGA
rnacentral:rRNA from 1 species